GAUGAACGCUAGCGGCAGGCUUAAUACAUGCAAGUCGAGGGGCAGCAUGAUUGUAGCAAUACAAUUGAUGGCGACCGGCAAACGGGUGCGGAACACGUACACAACCUUCCAACAAGUGGGGGAUAGCCCAGAGAAAUUUGGAUUAAUACCCCGUAACAUAGCGAUGUGGCAUCACAUUGCUAUUAUAGAUUUUUCGCUUGUUGAUGGGUGUGCGGCUGGUUAGAUAGUUGGCGGGGUAACGGCACACCAAGUCUACGAUCAGUAGCUGAUGUGAGAGCAUGAUAAGCCACACGGGCAAUGAGACACGGGCCCGAAUGCGACGGGAGGCAGCAGUAAGUAAUAUUGGACAAUGGACGCAAGUCUGCUCCAGCCAUGCCGCGUGAAGGAUUAAGGUCCUCUGGAUUGUAAACUUCUUUUAUAAGGGACGAAAAAAGGCUUUUCUAAGUCGUCUGACGGUACCUUAUGAAUAAGCACCGGCUAACUCCGUGCCAGCAGCCGCCGUAACAC
rnacentral:rRNA from 1 species